GAAAAUCCGUCGACUUUAGAAAUCGUGAGGGUUCAAGUCCCUCUAUCCC
rnacentral:tRNA from 1 species